rnacentral:lncRNA from 10 species
CGGCCGCUGCGCGCCGGACGGGGCCCAAGCGGGGGUCGGAGCCUCAAGGCUGCGGCGGCGACGAGCUCCGAGCGGGACACUGAACGGCCCGUAUGCGCAAGAUAAGCACGGACUGAAUCAGGUACACGCACCUGCCGGGGACGCACUGACCGAGGUGCGGACGGCGGUACCAGGACAGGUAAAGCCGCGAACACUCGGACCUAAGAACUUGACAGGUACACCCUGCCUGAUGAAGCUACGUACGGCCAGGUGCGCAUCGAGUGAAUCAGGGUGAGAACCUACUUCUUCAUAAAGAGAAUUUGGAGGGAGCUUUUUGUUCUGCGGGGACAACAUCUGGAUUUGAAUACAUCCAUGCUCAAAAGGAGAUUUCUCAUAAUGGACCCAACUGAAAGCACUCAGAGUACAAGGACCGGUGAGCUUUCAAAAGGAGACACUUCGGGAGACUCGCCAGGGGCCCUCGUAUCCCCGGCAGCGCGAGUUUUGGAGGUCAGUGGAGGGCUCUCGCAUCAUGCAUGUAACUUUCAUACUCAAAAACUUACCUUCAUCCUGCAUCCCUCACCCCCCUGCAGAAACUUGGGGCUUGAAUUCAUUUAAAAACAUUUGCGGUUUCAGAAGCCUUCUUUUUAUUAUGAAGCUGCCAAGGAGAUCUUAGAAUGAAAGGCAUUUUUAGAGAUGAGAAAGAAGGAAGCCAGGCCAAGGCUGGGCCGGCUCUCAGCCGUGGGUCUGUAAAGGUGACACGUGGGACAUGGCCACCUGCAGACCCUGCAGGCGGCUGGGCAGAGGCACCCACAGGGACCUGGGUUUGAAUCCCUGCUCUGCCAGUCAUUUCCACAGCGAUCUUGGGGGAAGUUGUGUAACCUCUGGGCCCUGCGACGCCCUUUCCUGGAGCCUGGAGCUGGAACGAAGCCCCUUGGAGCCCUGACAUCAGAGGUGACGUUAGUCUUCGCAGGCAAUGACUCGGCGGAAUGUGAUGCCACUCCCUAACCCGUGUCCGGACUGGCAGAGUGUGUGCCGCCUCCCACCAGGUGGUCUGGCUGCUUUGAUGGAUCUCCUAACUUCUCUGCACCCCAGAGCCCUCAGUGCUGGCCAGACCUUCACUCACUCCUGGGUGACAACCCCGUUCUCAGAUAGUGGGUCCCACAGGCUGGCCUGUGGCGCCCCCUGCUGGUGACUGCAGGGAGAAGGAUGCCCUAAGCCAAAGGAAGUCCUUCCUGGGGUCUAAUCUCUACCUUUUGCAUGAUGAGGCAGCUGAGGUGGCUCGCUUUCUCCUCCACCCCAGAAAAUAAAGUCAUAUGGAGUCCAAGCA